AGCGAACGCUGGCGGCAGGCCUAACACAUGCAAGUCGAACGAACUCUUCGGAGUUAGUGGCGGACGUGUGCGUCACACGUGGGAACGUGCCUUUUGGUUCGGCAUAACUCAGGGAAACUUGUGCUAAUACCGAAUGUGCCCUUCGGGGGAAAGAUUUAUCGCCAUUAGAGCGGCCCGCGUCUGAUUAGCUAGUUGGUGAGGUAACGGCUCACCAAGGCGACGAUCAGUAGCUGGUCUGAGAGGAUGACCAGCAACACUGGGACUGAGACACGGCCCAGACUCCUACGGGAGGAAGAAGUGGGGAAUCUUGAGCAAUGGGCGAAAGACUGACGCAGCCAUGCCGCGUGAAUGAUGAAGGUCUUAGGAUUGUAAAAUUCUUUCACCGGGGACGAUAAUGACGGUACCCGGAGAAGAAGCCCCGGCUAACUUCGUG
rnacentral:rRNA from 1 species